rnacentral:rRNA from 1 species
CCCGGGAAACUGGGGCUAAUCCUCCCAUAGUGGAUGUAUCCUGGAAUGGUAUAUCCUCGAAAGAUCCGUCGCCUUAGGAUGGGACUGCGUCCGAUUAGGUUGUUGGCGGGGUAACGGCCCACCAAGCCAUUGAUCGGUACGGGUUGUGGGAGCAAGAUCCCGGAGAUGGAUUCUGAGACAUGAAUCCAGGCCCUACGGGGCGCAGCAGGCGCCAAACUUUACAAUGCGAGCAAUCGUGAUAAGGAAACCCUGAGUGCCUGUCGAUGCAGGCUGUUCAUAUAUCUAAAUCAUAUGUGAAGAAAGGGCAGGGCAAGACCGGUGCCAGCCGCCGCGGUAAUACCGGCUGCUCGAGUGAUGGCCACUAUUACUGGGUUUAAAGCGUCCGUAGCUUGACUGUUAGGUCUCUUGGGAAAUCUUCGCGCUCAACGUGAAGGCGUCUAAGAGAUACCGGCAGUCUUGGAACUGGGAGAGGUAAACCGUACUUCGGGGGUAGGAGUGAAAUCUUGUAAUCCUCGAGGGACGACCUAUGGCGAAGGCAGUUUACCAGAACAGCUUCGACAGUGAGGGACGAAAGCUG